UGGGGAAUAUUGCACAAUGGAGGGAACUCUGAUGCAGCGACGCCGCGUGAACGAAGAAGGCUUUCGAGUCGUAAAGUUCUUUUAUAUGUGAAGCUAAUGACGGUACCAUAAGAAGAAGCCCCGGCUAACUACGUGCCAGCAGCCGCGGUAAUACGUAGGGGGCUAGCGUUGUCCGGAAUCACUGGGCGUAAAGGGUUCGCAGGCGGAAAUGCAAGUCAGGUGUAAAAGGCAGUAGCUUAACUACUGUAAGCAUUUGAAACUGCAUAUCUUGAGAAGAGUAGAGGUAAGUGGAAUUUUUAGUGUAGCGGUGAAAUGCGUAGAUAUUAAAAAGAAUACCGGUGGCGAAGGCGACGUACUGGGCUCAUUCUGACGCUGAGGAACGAAAGCGUGGGUAGCAAACAGG
rnacentral:rRNA from 1 species